UCAGCUGCCUACAGUAUUGUUUUCUGUUAACGGUUACUGGGAAACCACACCUACUGGCAGAUGGCUCUUAUGUGAAUAAGCAGAGGGAGUAUCAGGACUUUUUUGCAUCUACAGCAGGAACUGAGGUGAACUACAAACCACAGUCACACGAACACAUUUUAGCUGACUGUUGGAGUCCACUCAUCUAACGCUUUGGACCGUAUGAGCCUGAAGACAAGCUCAGUGUCUGACUGAUGAGAUGCAGCUGGAAAGUUGUCCAACAGGAAAACGGUGUCUUCACUCACUCAUCCUUGUACAUUGAGGAUGAGUUCAUGGUUCCUGACAACAGCAAACAGACACCUGACACAGGAACAGGGAGAAGAUGAUGUGCAUCAUCCUGCUGCUCAUCAACCUGACCUCCUGUGUCUGUGGAACAUUUGUAGUCAAUGUGACACAGACCUCCUAUCAGGCAGAGGAGAACCACAACAUCACACUGGAGUGGAUGUUCACCACCAAACCUGGCAGCUCC